rnacentral:rRNA from 1 species
GGAAUCGACGGACCCUUCGGGGGGAAGUCGAUGGAAUGAGCGGCGGACGGGUGAGUAACACGUAAAGAACCUGCCCUCAGGUCUGGGAUAACCACGAGAAAUCGGGGCUAAUACCGGAUGGGUCAUCGGACCGCAUGGUCCGAGGAUGAAAGGCGCUUCGGCGUCGCCUGGGGAUGGCUUUGCGGUGCAUUAGCUAGUUGGUGGGGUAAUGGCCCACCAAGGCGACGAUGCAUAGCCGACCUGAGAGGGUGAUCGGCCACACUGGGACUGAGACACGGCCCAGACUCCUACGGGAGGCAGCAGUAGGGAAUCUUCCACAAUGGACGAAAGUCUGAUGGAGCAACGCCGCGUGAACGAUGAAGGCCUUCGGGUCGUAAAGUUCUGUUGUAAGGGAAGAACAAGUGCCGCAGGCAAUGGCGGCACCUUGACGGUACCUUGCGAGAAAGCCACGGCUAACUACGUGCCAGCAGCCGCGGUAAUACGUAGGUGGCAAGCGUUGUCCGGAAUUAUUGGGCGUAAAGCGCGCGCAGGCGGCCUCUUAAGUCUGAUGUGAAAGCCCCCGGCUCAACCGGGGAGGGCCAUUGGAAACUGGG